CGUAGACAGCGUAAAAACACAGUCCCGGUUGGUAGUCCGGGCGCACUCGGAAACGAGUGUCAGUAAUCUUCCCCUCCUUGGGAUGUCCAUCGCUGUUGGCAAUUUC
rnacentral:ncRNA from 1 species